rnacentral:rRNA from 1 species
GAUGAACGCUGGCGGUGUGCCUUAAGCAUGCAAGUCGAGCGGGCCAAUCGCAAGAUUGGUCAGCGGCAGACGGGUGAGUAAUGCGUAGGAAUGUACCCCUUAAUGGAGGAUAGCCCAUCGAAAGAUGGGGUAAUACUCCGUAAUAUCCCCCUUAAAAGGGAUUAUAGUGCGUAACUGUACGUCAAGGGAGCAGCCUACGUCCCAUCAGCUAGUUGGUAGGGUAACGGCCUACCAAGGCGAUAACGGGUAGGGGGCCUGAGAGGAUGAUCCCCCACAAUGGCACUGAGACACGGCCCAGACUCCUACGGGAGGCAGCAGUGGGGAAUAUUGGACAGUGGGCGCAAGCCUGAUCCAGCCAUGCCGCGUGAGUGAUGAAGGCCCUAGGGCUGUAAAGCUCUUUCACCGGUGAAGAUAAUGACGGUAACCGGAGAAGAAGCCCCGGCUAACUUCGUGCCAGCAGCCGCGGUAA